AACGAACGCUGGCGGCAGGCUUAACACAUGCAAGUCGAACGCCCCGCAAGGGGAGUGGCAGACGGGUGAGUAACGCGUGGGAAUCUACCCAUCUCUACGGAAUAACUCAGGGAAACUUGUGCUAAUACCGUAUACGCCCUACGGGGGAAAGAUUUAUCGGAGAUGGAUGAGCCCGCGUUGGAUUAGCUAGUUGGUGGGGUAAAGGCCUACCAAGGCGACGAUCCAUGGCUGGUCUGAGAGGAUGAUCAGCCACAUUGGGACUGAGACACGGCCCAAACUCCUACGGGAGGCAGCAGUGGGGAAUAUUGGACAAUGGGCGCAAGCCUGAUCCAGCCAUGCCGCGUGAGUGAUGAAGGUCUUAGGAUUGUAAAGCUCUUUCACCGGUGAAGAUAAUGACGGUAACCGGAGAAGAAGCCCCGGCUAACUUCGUGCCAGCAGCCGCAGUAA
rnacentral:rRNA from 1 species